UAGAUUAAAGCCUGUUAGUUAGGUGUUUAGCUGUUAACUAAAAUAUUGUAGGGUAAAGUCCUGCUAAUCUAG
rnacentral:tRNA from 1 species